GGAAUUAAAAUAAACAAUCAGGUAGCGCCUCGUAGGAUCACUGUGCAGUAGUCAAGCUUCUCGUUGUCUACCAGUUUGAGGAAACCCUUCAUGUCGGCUAAAUUGUUCAUUAGUAUUCGAUUGCAUUGUCCAACCUACUAAGCUCACGUAUGGCACGCAAUGCUCAAACGACAGCCCUACGCGUACUACUUUCAUCCUCGAGUGCCAAACGCGGCCACUCUGCAAUGAGUCUCAGCUGGUCGAUUUGGCAGGCCAUGACAUCCUUAAUGACACAUCAAUUGUUUCCAAAUUAUGCCAUCCCCGCUUCCUCUUUGAGCUGCUCGAACACGUCCUAGAAUCGCUUGCUCGACUAGGUCGUGCAAUGUUGUCAAGGGAC
rnacentral:lncRNA from 1 species